rnacentral:lncRNA from 1 species
CAAAAAGCCAGUCACGCUUCCACAAAUGUAAAAGCAAAAGACUUUCCACUUGUUUCAUGGUGUGGAGGAGAGCCAGCAAGCGUGAGUCUCCCACCACAGCCAAGGCUGGCAUUGCCCCUCCUGGGCCAGGCUCUGCUUGAGACACAUUGCUGGGCAGCCUCCCAUCAGAUAAGGUCAUAUUUGGGCUGAACCAGGACAAACAGAGGAGCAGAGGCACAUAUUAGAUGUAUAGAAAUGCAUGUCACAGACCAAAUAUUUAGUGGGAUUAGGUUAGUCUGUACCCUGAAGGGGGUCAACCACAAUUGCAUUAACAUGACUCCCCCACACAAGUAACAUUAAAAUCAGACAUAGGAAAGCAGGACCUGGCUGCAACAGACACGGAGCAGAUUUUGAACUCUUGGGAUGCCCAUCUGGCUGCAUCAGGAAAACAUGAAAACUUUGGAGUGGAUGGCAAAACAUCGGAGCACGGCCACAACUGCCAUAUGUUUGUAAUCCCACGGCACCCUCCUUCCAGCAGAGCGAGAGAAGUUUAAGGAACAAAGAAUCUGUGAAAGCCAUGAGCUGUGUGAGAAAUGUGAAGUAUUUGGAGGCUGGAUUCUCAACUUUGUAAAUGUGAUGCACCUAGGAAAGACUGUGCUUAACGAAAAACCACACCUUCUUGCAUCCCAUUGCUGGCAACCACUGAGGAAAAAAGCAGUCUCCCAGACUCAGAAGCUGCUGAGUAUUUCAGGACUAAUGGGACAUGUUCAGAGAGUCCCACUAGGAAAUCACACUGGGAAAUGCCUUACCAUCUUUUCUCUGGAAGUCACCACUAUUGCUGUAGCACGUGGAAAAGUCGCUGCUUGUGUCAGUGAUAAUACCUCACUAGGCCAAGCAAGUAAGCAGAAGUAACCUGCAAGAUCUUGUCCACAUGUUCUGAGUUUGCUGCCCCAAAACUCCUCACCAUAGCACAUCUUCAUCCCAGAAACACAGCUACGAGGCCGCUCACAUCUUCAAAGUGUAAAUCAGACUCAUAUCUUGGAGGCAACUGGUACAGUUAGAGAACGGUCUUUUUAAAUCAGCUCAGAAACCAAAAACCAAAUAAUGAAUGAUAGCAAAAUAUUAGCUUGGCAAAACUCCACCGCGAUGAUUUGUUUUCCAAAGUGCAGCUGAUUUACAGAUUUGAGGCCUCCAUUCCUGCUCUCUAAGUUUAAAGCGAGAUAUUUCAACAAAAAUUAUAGCCAAUGAGCAGUUCUGCUGAUACAAGAAAUGUUCUGCGGGUGACAGCAGCCGCUCGAGGUAUGUAAAGGAGCAGAAUACUCCAGACAGUGCCGUUACAUCUCUGCACAAAGCAGCCAAGCGGCCUUGCUGGAUUUAUUGGCUUUCCAGCCCUGUAUCCUUCCAAUGGCCCCACAGCCACUCCCAUGAGUCAGGAGCGGGUUUCACCAGAUUCUUGUUGAUUCCCAUCUCCUCGGCACUGGUGGGACCACACCUGGUGUGCUGGGUCCAGUUGUGGGUUCCCCAGUACAAGAGAUGUGGGCAUACUGA